GUCGACAAUACUUCAGAGAAUCAUUUCUAUAGUAUUCGACCUUCUCUAGGUUCCCUAAAGGAGCCAUAGAUCCCACCCUGGUUGAUGAUUUAUAUCCUCGACACCCUAGAGUGAAGAACUCUGGUUGCCCUCGACCUGUCCGCAAGGAUGGCGGCUCAUCUCCUCGUGAGGUGGCUGUAUAGAGGGCGGUGAUCUCGUCCCCGUUCGCGGUCUUGCCCUCGGGCGCGCGGACGGGGUGGGUGUCGAUGGACGUCUGACAGGC
rnacentral:snoRNA from 1 species